rnacentral:rRNA from 1 species
UGCAAGUCGAACGAUGAAGCUGGAGCUUGCUCCGGCCGAUUAGUGGCGAACGGGUGAGUAACACGUGAGCAAUCUGCCCUUGACUCUGGGAUAACUGCGGGAAACUGUAGCUAAUACCGGAUACUUUCCUCGCUGGGCAUCCAGCGGGGAAGAAAGAAUUUCGGUCAAGGAUGAGCUCGCGGCCUAUCAGCUAGUUGGUGAGGUAAUUGCUCACCAAGGCGACGACGGGUAGCCGGCCUGAGAGGGUGACCGGCCACACUGGAACUGAGACACGGUCCAGACUCCUACGGGAGGCAGCAGUGGGGAAUAUUGCACAAUGGGCGAAAGCCUGAUGCAGCAACGCCGCGUGAGGGAUGAAGGCCUUCGGGUUGUAAACCUCUUUUAGCAGGGAAGAAGCGAAAGUGACGGUACCUGCAGAAAAAGCACCGGCUAACUACGUGCCAGCAGCCGCGGUAAUACGUAGGGUGCAAGCGUUGUCCGGAAUUAUUGGGCGUAAAGAGCUCGUAGGCGGUUUGUCACGUCUGCUGUGAAAAUCCGAGGCUCAACCUCGGACUUGCAGUGGGUACGGGCAGGCUAGAGUGCGGUAGGGGAGAAGGGAAUUCCUGGUGUAGCGGUGGGAUGCGCAGAUAUCAGGAGGAACACCAAUGGCGAAGGCACUUCUCUGGGCCGUAACUGACGCUGAGGAGCGAAAGCGUGGGGAGCGAACAGGAUUAGAUACCCUGGUAGUCCACGCCGUAAACGGUGGGUGCUAGCUGUGGGCCACAUUCCACGUGGUCCGUGACG